rnacentral:rRNA from 1 species
AUUGAACGCUGGCGGCAGGCCUAACACAUGCAAGUCGAGCGGAUGAAGGGAGCUUGCUCCUGGAUUCAGCGGCGGACGGGUGAGUAAUGCCUAGGAAUCUGCCUGGUAGUGGGGGAUAACGUCCGGAAACGGGCGCUAAUACCGCAUACGUCCUGAUGUAGAAAGUGGGGGAUCUUCGGACCUCACGCUAUCAGAUGAGCCUAGGUCGGAUUAGCUAGUUGGUUGGGUAAAGGCCUACGAAGGCGACGAUCCGUAACUGAUCUGAGAGGAUGAUCAGUCACACUGGAACUGAGACACGGUCCAGACUCCUACGGGAGGCAGCAGUGGGGAAUAUUGGACAAUGGGCGAAAGCCUGAUCCAGCAAUGCCGCGUGUGUGAAGAAGGUCUUCGGAUUGUAAAGCACUUUAAGUUGGGAGGAAGGGCAGUAAGUUAAUCCCUUGCUGUUUUGACGUUACCAACAGAAUAAGCACCGGCUAACUUCGUG